rnacentral:rRNA from 1 species
UACAGAGGGUGCAAGCGUUGUUCGGAAUUAUUGGGCGUAAAGGGCGCGUAGGCGGUUUUGUAAGUCGGAUGUGAAAGCCCAGGGCUCAACCUUGGAAGUGCAUUCGAGACUGCAAGACUUGAGUGUCGAAGAGGGUGGUGGAAUUCCCAGUGUAGAGGUGAAAUUCGUAGAUAUUGGGAGGAACACCGGUGGCGAAGGCGACCACCUGGUCGACAACUGACGCUGAGGCGCGAAAGCGUGGGGAUCAAACAGG